GGGGCUGUAGCUCAGCUGGGAGAGCGCAACACUGGCAGUGUUGAGGUCAGGAGUUCGAUCCUCCUCAGCUCCACCA
rnacentral:tRNA from 2 species